AAAAAAUACUCGUUAUGAUUAUUAUUAACGAGCCUUCAUAGAUCUAUUGAUUUAGUAAGAAUAAUAAUAUUAAUAAGUGAUAAUUUCACAUUCCACUCCACAGCCUCAUCGACCGACUUCAUCCAUCCUUCAGGAUUACGUUCAUUUAAUCGAAACUUGUUCCAUCAACGUCCAUCGACUUGAACAUCAAUCCACAUGACGAUUCACCAAUCGCCAUUCUCACCAAAAUCCAUCAAUAACCAUCUAUGAGCAAACGAACGGCCUUUUUCAAAGCCGUUAGGGAAGAUAUUUGGCAUCAUGGUACGACAGUGGGUAAGCCAGCCUAAAGACGUCCUAACUUGAAGAAAUGUUGGGCGCAACGCUAGGAGAGUACCGUUCAGCAUGCCGCUGCUGUCCAUCAUAAUACCUACGAUUUGGACUUUGGUGGAAGAGUUCGUUGUGCCAUAUGUGUUUUCGAAAAUAGACGAGUUUAUCGAGUGGGAGCGCCAAUGGUUACGUUCAUGUGUUCGGGAAUUAAUUAACAAUCCUUCUGUUUAUUUGAGACAAGCUGUACACUACGCCAGCAAGCUGUUCCUAAUGUGAUCCAUAUCCAUAUCCUUUGGUUCCAGUUCCAGUUUGUCACACUAAAACCUACGACAUACAUGUACUGAAAUUCCCCUAACAAGCCCAGGUUAAUCAUCAUCAAAAAAACAUCGUUAGAAUUGGAAACAUCAAUACCUACUUGUUCUAUAAAAAUCUGGCAACUAACCGCACAACCACGAAGCCCAAAAUGGGUAACACCGUUUGUAUUACACAUUCCGACUGUCCAGGGAUUGGAUUUCGUUGGGAGAAUGAUUUAUUAUUUGUGUUACAGGUUACACGUUGUUAAUUUGGGCUGUUUUAUUUGAUCUUGCAUUUGUAGUGUCUAUGUGUCUAUUUAUUUGUAGUGUUCUAUGUUUUUUAUGCUUUAUUUUAUCGUGCAUUUGUAGUGUUUUAUUUAUAUUAUUCGUAGCAUAUUGCCAACGUAAAGCACAAUGCAUUUGUAGAGAUUUUUUGUUGCUUUCGACUGGGUUUUCUCGGUGAUAGAAAACAAUAGCAAUCACCGUUAAAAAAAAAACAAUCAAAACUAAUCAAUAAAGCAAACUGUGAUCAAAACCAAAUAAUAUUUGUAGAGUUUGGGUUUAUUUUCUUCUGUGUCAUUUUUUGACCCUUUGAAGCCGAAAUUUUUCUAGGCUUUGUUAUCGUGUUUUUUCUACGUUUUUCUGUACUUUUGGUGGCCAAUAGCAUAAAAAGCGGUAGAAUAUUAUGCAGAAAAUUUUUUUCUGGAUAUUCUAGGUCAUCCAAACUAGUUCUUAAGUCUACGAAUGUAAUGGUAACUUCUUUCAUUAUACAAAUCUACGAUUUGUUAUCUAUCAUGUCUACAGAUUUUUCGAUAAUUCUUUCGUGGAGCCUUGCUGAAAUCUGUCUUAAGAUUAAUUUAAAAAAUCAUUCAAGAGUUUCUAAAAAAAGGGAUUCUUAAAGAAAUUCUUUCAGGGGUUCAUUUGGAAACUCCUCGUAGACAUAAUUUCACAAACUCUUCUAGGGAUUCAUUUAGACUUUAGAAUGCUCUCCAGAGAUUUUUUUCAAGAUCUCCUUAAGAAAAUCUUGCACGGGUAUCUUCCAAAAAUGUUGCUUGGGUUCCUUUAGAAAAUACUUCAAGAAUUCCUUUCAAAAAAUCUUGCAUAGUUUCGUCUAUGAAUUCCUUCAGAGCGGAGCGGACCUGGUGUGAUGGUGUGAAAUUCAAUUAAAAUACUUUUAAAACAAAAUUCAGUUGAACAAAAAAAAACAGGAAAAUUAAAGAAAAGAUUUAUACUUAAUUUAUGUUAGGAAACUUAACUGUCAUUUCCAAGAUUCUUGAAAUGAGGAAUUUGUUCGUACUUAUAGCAUAAGAAAAAAAUAUGGAAAUUUUUGGGCGCCUCCAAUUCAAAUUCCUAAAAAAAACACGAAUAACAAAACAUUAUAAUAAAAUUUAAAAAAAAAUGGAAGAGGGAGCAAUUGGGGGGAAAUCCAACUUUGGAAUAAAAAAGAAUAACUACAAACUUUCGUGUGCAAAUAAUAAAUGUUGCCAGUGUAAAUAACAACGAAACAGCCUGCACUUGUGUUUUUAUCCUCAGUCCGAAGUCCAAAACACGAACGCAGAUGCCAGUAUACGAAGCAGGAAGGACCCAUACAGCUGAAACAAUAAACGCUCGGCAAUUAAUCAAACCAACGCACUAUGGGCCAGAAAUAAAAAUUUCGCGACGAACGUGUAACUAGUGGGCGAUCCCUGCCCAGCACUGGCGAGACCCCCCUCCUUCAACUGCCUCAGGGUCGGCGUACGCGCUUGACUAUCGCGGCCAAGGAAACACUUAAACACUUUACGAUACACAAACCCACUUUAUUUCAAUUUUCGCACUACAGGUACCUUUAUUUGACUACUUUUCCACCCACUUUCUUACUAGCUAUCUCCUACCUCACUUUCCCUUCUUCUACGCAGUCUUCGGGGGCCCCUUCUUCUAGCUCCGCUACUUCACCUUCUCCUUCGGCCUUCCUUCGGUGUCCUCCUUUGCUGUCGCCUUUCGUUGGGUUGAACGGUCGUUCGAUGCAGUCCGAGCCGUGACUUUUGGCGUGACGCGUAAACUCUAGGACACUUUCAAAAUGGCCGCGGCUUGAUAUCCAGCUUUUUACGCUUUGAUGAGGGGUGAUGUAAUUUUGACGGAUGUUGCCGACAGCCCUUGCAGCAUCACAGCAGCCAAAAAUUUCAGUUCACUGCUCCAAAAAUGUCAGAAAUUUUCACCUGAUGUUACCAUUGUUACCAUAUUUGUUGUUA